AUAUCGACAGACUUCAAUUGGAAUUCUGCUACUUUCUCACUCAUAUAUUGCUUCAUUUCAGGUUUAAUAAGUGUAUAAACAAUGAUAGCAUUUGUAUCUUUUGCAACUUGAAUCACUUCAUCAACAUCUUCAAAAGAUUCAAUAUAUGGAUAUCUUAAUAAUUCAUUUUUACAUUGCUUAGGAUUGAAUUGUGAAAUACCUGCCCUAGCAACUAACUCUGCCGUUUCACCUAUAGAAUCUGAAGCUACGAUAAUUUUAAUUUUUUCCAUUCUCACCUAUUCUUAUAUAAUGCUACUAAUACUUAGCUAUUGUUUUGGAAUUCUUCCAAUUACUUCAUACUUUGAUUAUCUUUUUUCUUACAAUUGAAUCGAAUCAAUUCUUUUCAAUCAUUC
rnacentral:sRNA from 1 species